AGUCUGCGCAGGGACUGGCGGGACUGCGCGGAGGCGACUGCAGACGUAUCGGGGGUCCGGAGCCUGUCGCGGCUGCUAAGCGCUCGGCGCCUGGCGCUGGCGCUGGCCAAGGCUUGUUGCAAACAGGAACCCGAGGUGUUCACUUCACUGUUGAAGGAACGAGAGGGCAUCUGCUAAAGUUUCAGAUUCCAUUUCUGCUCAGUAUCCAGUAGUGGAUCAUGAAUUUGAUGCAGUGGUGGUAGGCGCUGGAGGGGCAGGCUUUGCGAGCUGCAUUUGGCCUUUCCGAGGCAGAGUUUGAUACAGCAUGUGUUACCAAGCUGUUUCCUACCAGGUCACACACUGUUGCAGCGCAGCUAGAAAAUUAUGGCAUGCCGUUUAGCAGAACUGAAGAUGGGAAGAUUUAUCAGCGUGCAUUUGGUGGACAGAGCCUCAAGUUUGGAAAGGGCAGGCAGGCCCAUCGGUGCUGCUGUGUGGCUGAUCGGACCGGCCACUCAAUAUUGCACACCUCAUAUGGGAGGUCUCUGAGAUAUGAUACCAGCUGUUUUGUGGAGUAUUUUGCCUUGGAUCUCCUGAUAGAGAACAGGGAGUGCCGUGGUGUCAUUGCACUGUGCAUAGAGGACGGGUCCAUCCAUCACAUAAGAGCAAAGAACACUGUUGUUGCCACAGGAGUCAAGAAACUUUUCUUUUGAGCUAUUGACAGCUUUUAACAAGUUAUUAUACUCCUAUGAACAAAAUUUGGAGCAUAUUUGUUUCUCUCUGCCUGAUUUCUCCUGAAUUUGGAAACUAUUUUCACUGAAAGCUAAGCUGUGCUUUGUGAAGCCCUGUGAACUGAAGCUAGACAACUUAAACUUCAGAAGAAAAUAACAGCAACCUGUUUACAUAUAUAAGCUACUUUCAUACCUGCCUACUGAUGUAUGGACUUCAGAGUAGUGUGGCCUAUAUCGAUUUUCUAGGAUCAUUAUUUUGUUUGUUGUUUUUCUCCCUUCCUCCACCUAUUUUCUCUUCAUAGGACAUGAGGAUUCUCAACCUGAUAAAAAUGAGCUUUCCUAAUAACUCAAGACCCAUCUGCCUAGGAAUAAACCAUCCCAGCUGUGAGAGACCAGACGAAACCUGAGACCAGAGACUCGUUUUCUUCUAAAAUGCUUUCUCCAAAAGAUUUUUAAACAGAAAAAGGGGGAAAUGUGAAAGGAAAAGAAAACUUGAGGCCCCCAAAAUCACUAAGCUAAAAGGAAAAGUCAAGCUGGGAAUGGCUUAGGGCAAACCUGCCUCCCAUUCUAUGCAAAGUCAUCCCUCCGUGCACUGAGAUAAAUGCUUAUCUAAUUGCCUCCUUUGGAGAGGCUCAUCAGAAACUCAAAAUAAUGCAACCAUUUGACUCUCACCUACCUGUGACCUGGAAGAUCCCUCUCUGCUUGAGUUGUCCUGCUUUUCUGGAUGGAACCAAUGUUCAUCUUACAUAUAUUGAUUGAUGUCUCAUGUCUCCCUAAAAUGUAUAAAACCAAGCUGUGCCCUGACCACCUUGGGCACAUGUCGUCAGGACCUCCUGAGGCUGUGCCACAGGCAUGCAGCCUCAACCUUGGCAAAAUAAACUUUCUAAAUUGACUGAGA
ensembl:lncRNA SDHAP4 SDHA pseudogene 4